UUAAUGGGUAAGGGUUCGAUA
ensembl:piRNA 21ur-11035 ncRNA